AACACUCAACUGAGCUGGGAGUAGUUAUUUUCAUGAGUUCUGAAGCUGCCAGUAAGAGCAUUUUGUAUAUUGAAGAAUUGACCAAUCACAAGUGAGAGUGUUGUAUAGCACAUUUUUUUCCUUUCUGGAAUUCGCACGCGGUUAGCGCGUGCUCUCUCUCUCUUGCUUCGGUGGAACAGAAGUGAGCGGAGCCGUUUCAGGUCUUUCCGAUUAAAAUGUAAGAAUUUGAUUAAUCAGGUAGAAAUAUUUGAUUAAAAACCUAGUGAUAUUCGCCCAGAGACGUUAUAUCGAGACUAGAAGCAAAGUUGAUGUAAAAAAGAGACUUAAAUCGGUUUGGUAGCACGCGAUUGCCGAGAGGACGCCUCGUUUAACACAUGUGGCGUGUUAUCCAAUAAUUAAAAGUGUUUCACACAGAAGCAAAAAAUCAUUUUCGAUUGGAAAUUAAUUUCAUGACUUAUGAGUGAAAGACCGAGUGGAAACUGAGUUCUUUGGAGCUACAAGGAAUUAAAACGGUCAAGUUCAUCUGUGGUCUUGGUCAGGUUUUUUUUUUGUUGUUGUUGUUGUUCCUUUUUUUUCUACUUCUGAUUCGGUUUUAUCGUGGCCCUGUCGAGUGUGUGCUGCAAGCUCUAAGUUGACGCUGUAUGGAGAUCGAUGCUUCACGAAAUGGAGUUUCUGGAUUCCCGGAUUUCGUCCAAACUCCUGUGUUCGCGGAGGGAGUGAGGACUGGCGAGCCGCACGGAGUUCUCAACAAGUGCUACUGAAUGACAUUUACCUUGCUGUUGCCGAACUGGACGGUAGGAAAAGUGAACUAGCAGCACAAACAGAGCGUUUCACUGUUCUCUUUAGGGACGAUCUAAUAGGAGAGACUGAGUGACGAACAAUUUCAUUGUCGUUAACUGAAUUCAGCCACAUUCACAAGGUUGUAAAUGAACCUCAAGUACUGAAUUACAAGACUCUUGAAAAUUGAGCUUUGAAUUGAUAUUUGAAUUUAUUUAGGUUUAUCUGAGUUUCUUCCUAAUUGUGGUUUUCUUCUAAUUUGGUCAAGUGUAUUUGUUUUCCCAUUUGAGUUUUUUUUUUGAGUUUUCAUUUGAAGUCCUUGAGAUCUAUAAAGAAAAAAAGAGAGAGUUAUUGUCAAAACAACUUGCACUGAACUAGUUUUUUUUUCCUUUUCUUUGUUUGAGAAAGUUACCCAUUGUAUUUUAUUUAUUUAUUUAUUUAUUUUUUCCUCAUUCCUCUGAUUUGGUGCGUUUCAAUUGCUCAAACAAUUGCUUUUGACAAAUAACACUGAGUUGAAUAUC